rnacentral:lncRNA from 1 species
UUAAAUAGUUGACUUAAGGAGGCUCGCGGGUGUAAGAUUUUCAGAAAAAAAAUUAAACAUUAAUUUUUCAUUACAAAUUUCAUUUAUUACCUUAAGUAGUUGUUACUUUGUCAUAUGGUACAAAAAUAAUUACAAAAAAUCAAUUCGUGUUGGCCCCAGCGAAUUUUUGAAAUGUAGUUAUCAUUGAAAAAGCACCAAAUUAUCUCCCUUUGGUGCAAAAAUGCCAUUUUUUGGCAUUAAAAUUGAAAUAUCUUUUUUAACUCAUCGGUGACCUAUAUUUUUUAUUGUUGUUUUCGAAUAAGCUGUACAUAAACUAAAUAAUUUUAAAUUUUUAGCGAUUUCUGUAAUUUAGUUCUUUUUUUAUAUCGAUAUUACCGCUAUUUCUCCUAUUAGUUCAACAGAAAAAAGGACAUUAACAAAAAUGUAUGCUUCUUUCGAAGGCAGAUUGUGAGCGUAAAUGAACGGUGACCCCAUUUUUUUAUUUCAUUUUUCCAUUAAGUAUAAGAUAAAGUUCAUUUAUAGAAAAAUAUAGAGAAAUCCUAUAUUAAAUAAAAAAAUUCACUUAGACCCGCGAGCCCCCUUAA